UUGACCUCGGAUCAGGUAGGGAUACCCGCUGAACUUAAGCAUAUCAAAGCGGGAAAAGAAUUAUUCCUGAUGGAUUGCCUCAUAACGGCGAGUGAAGCGGCAGCAAGCUCUAUGGUGCCGGCUCUCGAUCAGUGAGUGCCCGUGGGGGCGGGUGAUGAAGCGUGGGGGAAAGAGAAGGUUGACGAGUUAAAUGAAUC
rnacentral:rRNA from 1 species